GUGAGGAAUAUUGCGCAAUGGAGGCAACUCUGACGCAGCCAUGCCGCGUGCAGGAAGAAGGCGCUACGCGUUGUAAACUGCUUUUAACCGGGAAGAAACCCCAGGACGUGUCCUGGGUUGACGGUACCGGAGGAAUAAGCACCGGCUAACUUCGUGCCAGCAGCCGCGGUAAUACGAAGGGUGCAAGCGUUAUCCGGAUUCAUUGGGUUUAAAGGGUGCGUAGGCGGAGCGUUAAGUCAGUGGUGAAAUCCUGCAGCUUAACUGUAGACUUGCCAUUGAUACUGGCGCUCUUGAGUGCGCUUGAAGUGGGCGGAAUGUGCCGUGUAGCGGUGAAAUGCUUAGAUAUGGCACAGAACACCAAUUGUGAAGGCAGCUCACUAAGGCGAUACUGACGCUGAGGCACGAAAGCGUGGGGAUCGAACAGGAUUAGAAACCCCGGUAGUCC
rnacentral:rRNA from 1 species